rnacentral:snRNA from 1 species
AUACUUACCUGGCAGGGGAGAUACCAUGAUCACGAAGGUGGUUUUCCCAGGGCGAGGCUUAUCCAUUGCACUCCGGAUGUGCUGACCCCUGCGAUUUCCCCAAAUGUGGGAAACUCGACUGCAUAAUUUGUGGUAGUGGGGGACUGCAUUCGCACUUUCCCCUA